GAGACCGAUAGAAAACAAGUACCGUGAGGGAAAGUUGAAAGAACUUUGAAGAGAGAGUUCAAUAGUACGUGAAACCGUUUAGGGGUAAACGGAAAAGAACUAAAAAUCCGAAAAGGGAGAUUCACGUCCACACGUUAUUUUGACUGCAGUGAUUUAUGAUGACUAGUGGAUUGUGCCUUGUGUAUAAUACUGCUAAUUGCAUUUAUCUUGUAUUUCAAGUGACGGUGGACCGCACUUCUCCCUAAGUAGGACGUCGCGACCCGCUAAUUUAUAAUCUAUGUGCAAUUUAAAAGUCUGUUCUGAAUUAAUUUUAUAUUAUUUAGUCAGGUGAUUUGCUUCUGAUUAUAAUUAAUUGGCGGUAUAAAACGACAGUGGUGAGCCGCUUUUAAAGCGUUUAAUUAACUAAUUAGUUGUGUUAGGAUUUGAUAAUAAAUGGUUAUUACCCUUAUUUGAUAUUCUGCCAACUAAUAUUAGUUUUUAUUAAACAGUGUUCACAACACUAGUCAGCGGCGCUACAGUUUUAGUAACUUUUCCGACCCGUCGAAACACAAGGAGUCUAACAUAUGCGCAAGUCAUUGGGUAAUAAAAACCUAAAGGCGUAACAAAAGUAAAAAAACUUUUGCUUUGUUAGGGAGGAUGAAUAUAGACAAUUUGUCUUAUUCCGCACUCCCGGGGCGUCUGUUACUCAUUGCGAGUAAAGGCGCACCUAGAGCGUAUACGUUGGGACCCGAAAGAUGGUGAACUAUGCUUGACCAGGAUGAAGCCAGGGGAAACCCUGGUGGAGGUCCGUAGCGAUUCUGACGUGCAAAUCGAUCGUCAGAGUUAAGUAUAGGGGCGAAAGACCUAUCGAACCAUCUAGUAGCUGGUUCCCUCCGAAGUUUCCCUCAGGAUAGCUGGUGCCAAUGAUGAAACGAGUCUCAUCCGGUAAAGCGAAUGAUUAGAGGCCUUGGGGCCGAAACGACCUCAACCUAUUCUCAAACUUUAAAUGGAUGAGAGCCUUGGCUUGCUUAAAAGUGAAGCCAGGGACUUGGAUCUAGGUGCCAAGUGGGCCAAUUUUGGUAAUGUGGGAUGAACCAAACGCAGAGUUAAGGCGCCCGAAUCGACGCUCAUGAGACACCAUGAAAGGCGUUUGUUGCUUAAGACAGCAGGGCGAUGGUCCUGGAAGUCGAAAUUCGCUAAGGAGUGUGUAACAACUCACCUGCCGAAGCAACUAGCCCUGAAAAUGGAUGGCGCUGUAGCGUCGUGCCUAUACUCUGCCGUCAACGGCAAAUGGGGCUAUCAAUUUAUUGAUAGAGCUAUUAAGCCUUGACGAGUAGGAGGGUCGCGGCGAUGAGCGUCGAAGGGUCUAGGCGUAAGCCUGCCUGGAGCCGUCGCCGGUGCAGAUCUUGGUGGUAGUAGCAAAUACUCCAGCGAGGACCUGGAGGACUGUUGUGGAGAAGGGUUUCUUGUGAACAGCUGUUGCACAAGAGUCAGUCGAUCCUAAGCUCUAAGAGAAAUCUUAUGUCGAUUGGUACCGUUAAUAUA
rnacentral:rRNA from 1 species